GAGCAUGCGCAUAAUUGCAGGCCCAGCAAACUGUGUCUGCUGUGCUUGCGAUCUCAUACAACAGGCUGCCAUAUGAUCCGGUGGUCACCGUCUGAAUCGUGAGCUUUUCCAGUCUUUCCUCUCGUCAUCUCCAGUCUUCUUCUUCGCCACUACGCCUUCAUCUACACAUCUUCGCCAUCUACACAGACAUCUACAUAUCCAGUCAUCAUAGUCGCCAUCACCAACAUCACCAUCAACAUAGAACUACUUCAUCUCAGCAUUCAUCAUUAUUAUGUUGUCUCUUCCAUGGUGUGAUCCAUGUGAUGAUGAUGCAGAAAGAAGUCUGUGUUUGAAGUCACCAACUACUCUUCUGGGUCCUACCUGACACCUGAACUGUGAUGAUUCACGCAACAGGUUGGCACUGGGUAGAUGAUAAGCAGGUUCUUAGAGUCAACGGGAGGUAAGGAAGUCAUACUUUUAUGUAGCAUUAAUGCCUGCAAAUGCAAUGACAUUUUCUCUAUCAGUGGUACAAAAAAAAAUUAUUUGGGAUUUAUAUAUUACACAUUGGACACGAUUGGAAGAGAGUUAAAACAGGAGGGUUUAAUGGGAUCACAUUUCCUCUAUCAAUUGAACAAAAUUAUAAGAAAUAUUUAGAAUAUAUAGAUUACACAUUGGACACAGUUUAGCAGGAUUAGUAAAACAUGAUGGGUAAGAUAGGAGGGGGUUGAAGUUCUUACCUAUUUUCCAGACUAGUUAUAAUGACAAAGGUCAGACCAUUUCAUUUCAUGUCAUGUCAUUCCUACAUUUCAUUUCUACAUUUCAUUCCUACAUUUCUUGAUAUAAUUGUAAUUCAACAUUCUAUAUUCUAACAAUGCAAUUUGUAUAUAGGCAGAAACUAAACCUAAGAAAAUAAGCAAAACGGGAUAAAAUGAUAAUAAAGUCCAUGAUCAAAAUAAAUAUCCCAAACAAGGGCAGAUUGAUCCAAAUUCCCUACUGGUUCCUCCAUUCCACAGAGGAUUUUUAAUUGGUUUCAGAGUGUCUAAGUCACUAUGUGGAAGGAAUCCAAAUCAUAGAGGGCAUUACAUGUGUACCCUUGAUUCAAAAUGCAGAGAGUCAUGGACAAAGUCAUGGACAAAGUCAUGUACAAAUUCAUGAGAAAGGCUCCUUCGUGUACUGGCCCUCCGUUUGACCUCCCAUCCCGGAGCGGUGGGAACUGUAGCCCAGAUUGGCAUGAAAGCAAUUGCUUUAUGCAGUCUGGUUUGCACAAAGAUGUAGCAUUUUCAUAUUCAGCUAUCCUCCAAGUUUUGCCACACCUCCUUUAUAAGAUGUAACAUAUACAUGUAGAACAUCUUAGAAGAGUUCACCAUCAUUUUUUUUACUCUUGAUGAAAGAGGGAUGAUGAAUUUGACUGUAUUGAUAUACAUGUAUAAAUCUUUAUCAAGAAUUAUCAUUAUUAUUGGUACCAGUUGUCAUGGUAAUCUUGGCUACCUCAUCAGUUCAGGGCAAUUCAUGCUUGAGUAUUUGAUGCCAAGCGAUGAUGGAGUAUAUCAGAAUCAUAUCAGAAGUAUGGCUGUCAUUUAGUUGCACCUUGUAAAUCACGUCUGACGUCAUGUCUGAACUUUCAGUUUACCCUGAGCUGGUAUAAUAAUACUACAGCAUU
rnacentral:lncRNA from 1 species